CGAACGCUGGCGGCGUGCCUAACACAUGCAAGUCGAGCGGACCAAGGGAUUCGUCUCUUGGUUAGCGGCAGACGGGUGAGUAACACGUGGGUAACCUGUCCUCGAGUGGGGGAUAACUACUCGAAAGGGUGGCUAAUACCGCAUAAGACCACGAUUCUUCGGGAUUGAGGUCAAAGGCGCAAGCCGCUUGAGGAGGGGCCCGCGGCCGAUUAGCUAGUUGGUGAGGUAAUGGCUCACCAAGGCAGUGAUCGGUAGCUGGUCUGAGAGGAUGAUCAGCCACACUGGUACUGAGACACGGACCAGACUCCUACGGGAGGCAGCAGUGGGGAAUAUUGCGCAAUGGGCGAAAGCCUGACGCAGCAACGCCGCGUGGGUGAUGAAGGCCUUCGGGUCGUAAAGCCCUGUCAGAUGGGACGAACAAGAUGACGGUACCAUCGAAGGAAGCACCGGCUAACUCCGUGCCAGCAG
rnacentral:rRNA from 1 species